GACGAACGCUGGCGGCGUGCUUAACACAUGCAAGUCGAACGGAAAGGCCCUGCUUUUGUGGGGUGCUCGAGUGGCGAACGGGUGAGUAACACGUGAGUAACCUGCCCUUGACUUUGGGAUAACUUCAGGAAACUGGGGCUAAUACCGGAUAGGAGCUCCUGCUGCAUGGUGGGGGUUGGAAAGUUUCGGCGGUUGGGGAUGGACUCGCGGCUUAUCAGCUUGUUGGUGGGGUAGUGGCUUACCAAGGCUUUGACGGGUAGCCGGCCUGAGAGGGUGACCGGCCACAAUGGGACUGAGAUACGGCCCAGACUCCUACGGGAGGCAGCAGUGGGGAAUAUUGCACAAUGGGCGGAAGCCUGAUGCAGCAACGCCGCGUGCGGGAUGACGGCCUUCGGGUUGUAAACCGCUUUCGCCUGUGACGAAGCGUGAGUGACGGUAAUGGGUAAAGAAGCACCGGCUAACUACGUA
rnacentral:rRNA from 1 species